rnacentral:misc_RNA from 1 species
AGAGUUAAAUAGUAUGUGAAAUUGUUGAAAGGGAAACGAUUGAAGUCAGUCAUGCUGUAAGGAAUCAACUUAGUGGUUUACUUCCUUGUGUACUUUCUCGCUUGGCAGGUUAGCAUUAAUUUUGGUUGUCAUCAAAGAAUUGGGGGAAUGUGGUUUCUCUUUGGGGAAGUGUUUAUAGACCCUGGUAGAUAUGGCGACUGAGAUUGAGGAUUGCAGCAGAUGCCUUUGGCUAGUCACCUGUCUUCUGACUGUUACCUCGCUUUUGACAGCUUGCUGACGAUUGUGGGAUUUGACGGCCUAAAAGUUAGAGUGUACAUAAAUUCGCUAAGGAUGCUGACGUAAUGGCUUUAAACGA